UCCUACGGGAGGCAGCAGUGGGGAAUUUUGGACAAUGGGCGCAAGCCUGAUCCAGCAAUGCCGCGUGAGUGAAGAAGGCCUUCGGGUUGUAAAGCUCUUUUGUCAGGGAAGAAAAGGUGCGCUCUAACAUAGCGUACUGAUGACGGUACCUGAAGAA
rnacentral:rRNA from 1 species